UACGGGGGGGGCAAGCGUUGUUCGGAAUUACUGGGCGUAAAGCGCGCGCAGGCGGCUCUUUAAGUCUACCCGUGAAAUGCCGGAGCUCAACUCCGUGCACGCCGGGGGAUACUGGAGAGCUGGAGACGAGUAGAGGCAAGCGGAAUUCCGGGUGUAGCGGUGGAAUGCGUAGAGAUCCGGAAGAACACCGGAGGCGAAGGCGGCUUGCUGGGCUUGGUCUGACGCUGAGGCGCGAAAGCGUGGGGAGCGAACAGG
rnacentral:rRNA from 1 species